GUACCCGCAACUCCAAGCACAAGAGCCGCGGCUCACCCAAACCCAGGAAAAACUUCUCUCUUUUCAGUUCAAUUCGUCUCCAUUCACAGCCCAAUCUCUAAGGAACGCAUCGAUUAUUCUUCCUUUCCUGCUAGAAAUCGGCGGCCGUUUCAGGGUUCUCUCAGAACCCCCCCCCCCCCCAAUUCGAUGGAGGUUUUAUCGGCGCCGUCAUCAGCUGUGGUCCGCGGCUUCGCCUCUGCGUAUCGGGUUCUCCGAAGCCUCUCGUCUCGUUGAAAUCGGUCUUUCUUUAUUUUUUCUUUCUUCUCGCUUCGAGAGGUUUUCUAUAUCUGGGCUGUUUACCUCCUGUUGCGUAUUUCCUUUUCUUCUGUUUCUUUCUUGAGAAAGGAAAGAUGAGUGCGGCUAAGUCUCGGGUUUGGCAGCCUUGCAAGAAGAAGAGAUCUUGAUUUAUAGGGAGAGAUAGAGAGUCAGAGAAGAAGAAGAAGAAGAAGAAGAAGAGAGAAGGAAGCAAUGGAUGGUAUUUGCUCCUAUUGAGGACUCUUCUGUUUCAGAGAGAGAGAGAGAGAGAGAGAGAGAGAUGGCUUCUAGGUCAACGGGCGGCGGCGGACGGGGCGGUGGCAGCACAAGGGUUGGGAAGUAUGAGCUGGGAAGGACACUGGGGGAGGGAACGUUUGCAAAGGUGAAGUUUGCUAGGAACACAGAGAGCGGAGAGAAUGUGGCUAUAAAGAUUCUGGACAAAGAGAAGGUUCUCAAGCACAAGAUGAUCGGUCAGAUUAAACGUGAAAUUUCAACCAUGAAACUAAUCAGGCACCCAAAUGUCAUCCGUAUGUAUGAGGUUAUGGCUAGCAAGACAAAAAUAUACAUUGUUCUGGAAUUUGUUACUGGGGGUGAACUCUUUGACAAAAUAGCUAGUGAGGGGAGACUCAAAGAAGAUGAAGCAAGGAAGUAUUUCCAGCAACUUAUAAAUGCAGUGGAUUACUGCCACAGCAGAGGCGUUUUCCAUAGGGACUUGAAGCCUGAGAAUCUGCUACUGGAUGCAAGUGGAGUUCUUAAAGUUUCAGAUUUUGGAUUAAGUGCUCUACCUCAACAAGUUCGUGAAGAUGGGUUACUACAUACAACCUGUGGUACACCAAACUAUGUUGCUCCUGAGGUGAUCAACAACAAAGGCUAUGAUGGGGCUAAGGCAGAUUUGUGGUCAUGCGGUGUAAUCCUUUUUGUCCUUUUGGCAGGCUACCUGCCUUUUGAAGACUCCAAUCUUGUGACAUUGUACAAAAAGAUAUUCAAGGCUGACUUCUCAUGUCCUCCAUGGUUUUCCUCGAGUGCAAAGAAACUAAUCAAAAGAAUCCUGGAUCCUAAUCCAUCUGCACGCAUCACAAUUGCUGAGCUAACUGAGAAUGACUGGUUUAAGAAGGGGUAUCAACCUCCUACUUUUGAAGACGCAGAUGUUAGUCUUCAUGAUGUGGAUGCUAUUUUUAAUGAAUCAGAGGACUCACAAAAUCUUGUUGUGGAGAGGAGGGAAGACCGACCUGCAAUGCCUGUGGCUAUGAAUGCUUUUGAGCUCAUCUCAAAAUCACAGGGUCUCAACCUCAGUUCUCUUUUUGAAAAACAAAUGGGGCUUGUUAAACGAGAAACAAGGUUUACAUCCAAAUGUCCUGCUAAUGAGAUAAUCUCAAAAAUUGAGGAAGCUGCUUCUCCUAUGGGUUUUGACAUAAGGAAAAACAAUUACAAGCUGAAGCUUCAAGGGGAGAAAACUGGGCGCAAGGGUCAUUUAGCUGUUGUGACAGAGAUCUUUGAGGUGGCGCCUUCACUUCACAUGGUUGAGCUACGCAAGACUGGAGGUGAUACCUUAGAAUUCCAUAAGUUUUACAAGAACCUGAAAACUGGUUUGAAAGAUGUUGUCUGGAAAACAGGAGAUGAAGCACAAUCAGAAGCAAGUGCCGGUGCAGGCAAUCCGUAGCCAUCUUGCUAGAUCUAUGGUUGUGGGAGUUUAGUGACCUUCAACGAAUUGAUACUUCGAACUUGUGCUGUGAGAAAAUAAUGAGCCUAAAGAUUGAACACGCUCGAUUUUCAUCCUCACUGUUAGCAUCAUGGGAUUCGGGACCAUGAGAAGGGAGCUUGCAAGGCUAGAUUUUGUGGUGGUUGACGCCAAGAGGGCAAUCUGCUAUGUUCUCUUCGCCCUACGUAAAGCAGAUAAAGUUGACCCUCUGUUUAUUUACUUUUAAGUUUUUUGAUAAGAAGGUGGUUAAUAGUAAUAUUGCAUUUGCUGCUUUUUUUUUUAUCAAAGAUUUAGUUUACAGGGUGUUUCUAAUCCAUUUCUUGGUGCUGGGAGGGGGGGGGGGGGGGGGGGGGGGGAGGGGCGUGUUUGUACCGGGUAUCUUGGAUUCUUGGUAUAGAGACUUUGCUAGCACCUCCUUUUCAAUUGUACUUCCCAUCUUUGUGAGUUCACUGAAUAAAAUUUGAAUCUAGCUAUAAAACAAGUGAUGCAUCCAUACGGGGCUCACAAAAGAGCAUAGUUAAAUUGGUUCAAACUAGAGCUACGCUAUACCUCUACACUGAAGGGUUAACAAGGUUUGCAUUUUUAAUAUCUUUAGUCUUUGUUCUGCUGGUAUGUUUAUGGUGAUGCCCUUUUCUUAUAUGAGGAAUUAUUUGGUAGAUUUAUCUUUUCUGGAUAUGGGUGUAAGGAUCAAGCAGGGUUCAUUGCUAGGAUAGAACUUGAUUUAGGUUCUUGGAGCUCAAAAGAAAUAACAGCAUAUCAUGCCUUAAUCUUACUAUU